rnacentral:tRNA from 1 species
GUUUUAGUAGUUUAAAUAAAACCCUGGUCUUGUAAACCAAAAAUAAGGAAACAACCUUCUAAAACU